rnacentral:lncRNA from 1 species
GUAUGUAAAAUGUGUAUGCGAAAUGUAUAUGCAAAAUGUAUGUAUAUGUAACAGAAAAGCUGUAAAAAAAAUAUAUAUGUAUUUUAUUUUUUUUGUACUUUUUUUCCCUCAAAAUGGGCUAAUACCAACAACAACAAAAAUGUGCCACUGAUUCCGCUCCAGCCUUUACCACCAGCCUGUCCUGCCUAAUUAAGGUGCCACCAACCUCCUGUGAUAAGAAUAAUGUUCUCAUUGAAAGCAUUCCAAAUAAUCUUUGUCAGUUUGGAUGUGGGGGUUUGACCUCAAAGAGGACUUCUGGAGAGAGCUACUACAAGUAGUUGGGUUUGUAUGGAUAACCCUGGUGGAUUGUCUAGCCUCCUCUCCACUGAGACAUUGGGGAAGGAGUUUAUAGAACUGUUGGAAUUCGGACCCUCCAAAAACUAUUCUGUCUCAAAAUGUUGUUUUCUCUAGCCCUCCUCUUCCUGCUAACCCCGUUUCCCUCCCUUCAAACUCCAGUAACCUAUGAGAAAAGAAAUGCCACAGGAACAGGAAGUGAACCCAAACCCUACGUCCUACUCACCCUCUCCCUCACAAAACCAAAAACCGCAGCCACGCUCGUCAAAGUCACCAAAGAGACCCCUAAGCCCACUCCGAAAGUCCUAAGCCCAACUGCAGCCAAUCAGACACAUCCAGCCCCCACAAACCCCCUCAAACCUCCAACAGCCACGUUCAUCAAACUCACCAAAGAGACCCCUAAGCCCACUCCAAAAGCCCUAAGCCCAACUGCAGCCAAUCAGACACAUCCAGCCCCCUCGACCCCCCUCAAGCCUCCAACAGCCACGUUCAUCAAACUCACCAAAGAGACCCCUAAGCCCACUCCAAAAGCCCUAAGCCCAACUGCAGCCAAUCAGACACAUCCAGCCCCCUCGACACCCCUCAAGCCUCCAAUAGCCACAUUCAUCAAACUCACCAAAGAGACCCCUAAGCCCACUCCAAAAGCCCUAAGCCCAACUGCAGCCAAUCAGACACAUCCUGCCCCCUCGACCCCCCUCAAGCCUCCAACAGCCAUGCUCGUCAAACUCACCAAAGAGACCCCUAAGCCCACUCCGAAAGCCCUAAGCCCAACUGCAGCCAAUCAGACACAUCCUGCCCCCUCAACCCCCU